GGCCCUUUAGCUCAGUGGUUAGAGCAGGCGACUCAUAAUCGUCCGGUCGCUGGUUCAAGUCCAGCAAGGGCCA
rnacentral:tRNA from 7 species